AAUCUGAAGAUUGUGAUGCUCCUUGCGGUAGAGUUGACAGAUUAUUAAUAAUGGAAUUGACGAUUGCUACUGAUGCCAAGGUGCAUUACUCGGACAUAUAAUCAAACUAUUAGCACCAAGCUUAUUAAAAAAAAGCCAAAGAAAUAUAUUACAAAGUAAGAAAAUAUAAAAGGAAAGGAAUACUUGACAGACACAUCUAUACCAACUUGCAAGAAAAUAUUCAAACGUUGGCACUACUUUCGGGAAACAGUUCUUCUAAUUUUAUUGCGGAGAAUGACCUUGAAAUUAGAGGAUACUAAGGAAUCAGCUUCGAGGAAACUUG
rnacentral:misc_RNA from 1 species